GAGAAAUUUGCAGUCAAUGAUUCACCUAAGGCCCCCCUUCUCAUUGCUACUCUGAUGAAAGUCAGUUCUUUCAGCAUAUCUAGCAACGGACUUUCAUAUGCCUAAUAAUGCUUUCCAGCUUAGCACAUGUACAAGGAUUAGAGAGAUAUUCGGGAAUGCGGGGUUAGCACAAGAAGGCUUCAGAAUAUGUUUGGGAGAGAAAUUGAUGGGCUUCCAGCUUCAAUGUCUUCUUCCUUAAAAUAUAACAACAUUAAACUCUUUGCGGCCAACAAAAAGAGAUUCGAUAGCUAUUCAGAAGCCUCGGAGGAUUAUGUGAAAAGAUAUGAGAGAUCUUUUAGAAGGCUUCCAGUGGCUCACAAGAUUCAAUGUUAGUCUGGAAUCCUAGGGGAUUUCAGAUUAGGAAGGU